UACAGAGGGGGCAAGCGUUGUUCGGAAUUACUGGGCGUAAAGGGCGCGUAGGCGGCCCGCUAAGUCGAACGUGAAAUCCCCGAGCUCAACUCGGGAACUGCGUCCGAUACUGGCGGGCUUGAAUCCGGGAGAGGGAUGCGGAAUUCCAGGUGUAGCGGUGAAAUGCGUAGAUAUCUGGAGGAACACCGGUGGCGAAGGCGGCAUCCUGGACCGGUAUUGACGCUGAGGCGCGAAAGCAUGGGGAGCGAACAGG
rnacentral:rRNA from 1 species